rnacentral:tRNA from 5 species
GGCCAGGUAGCUCAGUUGGUAGAGCAGCGGAUUGAAAAUCCGCGUGUCGGCGGUUCAAGUCCGUCUCUGGCCACCA